rnacentral:rRNA from 1 species
CCUACGGGUGGCAGCAGUGAGGAAUAUUGGUCAAUGGACGAGAGUCUGAACCAGCCAAGUAGCGUGAAGGAUGACUGCCCUAUGGGUUGUAAACUUCUUUUAUAUGGGAAUAAAACGUUCCACGUGUGGGAUUUUGUAUGUACCAUAUGAAUAAGGAUCGGCUAACUCCGUGCCAGCAGCCGCGGUAAUACGGAGGAUCCGAGCGUUAUCCGGAUUUAUUGGGUUUAAAGGGAGCGUAGGUGGAUUGUUAAGUCAGUUGUGAAAGUUUGCGGCUCAACCGUAAAAUUGCGGUUGAAACUGGCAGUCUUGAGUACAGUAGAGGUGGGCGGAAUUCGUGGUGUAGCGGUGAAAUGCUUAGAUAUCACGAAGAACUCCGAUUGCGAAGGCAGUUCACUGGACUGCAACUGACACUGAGGCUCGAAAGUGUGGGUAUCAAACAGGAUUAGAUACCCUAGUAGUC